rnacentral:rRNA from 1 species
GACGAACGCUGGCGGCGUGCCUAAUACAUGCAAGUCGAGCGGACCUCUUCGGAGGUUAGCGGCGGACGGGUGAGUAACACGUGGGCAACCUGCCUGUGAGACUGGGAUAACUCCGGGAAACCGGAGCUAAUACCGGAUAGUAUCUUGAACCGCAUGGUUCAAGUUGGAAAGACGGUUUCGACUGUCACUUACAGAUGGGCCCGCGGCGCAUUAGCUAGUUGGUGAGGUAAUGGCUAACCAAGGCAACGAUGCGUAGCCGACCUGGGAGGGUGAUCGGCCACACUGGGACUGAGACACGGCCCAGACUCCUACGGGAGGCAGCAGUAGGGAAUCUUCCGCAAUGGACGAAAGUCUGACGGAGCAACGCCGCGUGAGUGAUGAAGGUUUUCGGAUCGUAAAACUCUGUUGUUAGGGAAGAACAAGUGCGAGAGUAACUGCUCGCACCUUGACGGUACCUAACCAGAAAGCCACGGCUAACUACGUGCCAGCAGCCGCGGUAACAC